rnacentral:rRNA from 1 species
UAGGGAAUAUUGGACAAUGGGCGCAAGCCUGAUCCAGCCAUCCCGCGUGAAGGAUGAAGGUCCUCUGGAUUGUAAACUUCUUUUCUUCGGGAAUAAAAACUGGGGUUCUCCUCAGCUUGAAGGUACCGAAGGAAUAAGCACCGGCUAACUCCGUGCCAGCAGCCGCGGUAAUACGGAGGGUGCAAGCGUUAUCCGGAUUCACUGGGUUUAAAGGGUGCGUAGGUGGCUUUGUAAGUCAGUGGUGAAAGCUCGGAGCUCAACUCCGAAACUGCCAUUGAUACUGCUUAGCUUGAAUCAGGUCGAGGUGGAUGGAAUGUGACAUGUAGCGGUGAAAUGCUUAGAUAUGUUACAGAACACCGAUUGCGAAGGCAGUUCACCAGCCCUGUAUUGACACUGAGGCACGAAAGCGUGGGGAUCAAACAGG